AGAAAAUUCAAGACCACUAUUCUCACCGUGCUCCCCACUUUUUAAGAUGAAUUUGUGCUAGAAGAACCCUUAACAAACAGCUACAAAAUUGCUCACUAAUGACCAGGUGUGGCUGAUAGCAGAAGCAGCUCUCCUUGCUUAUAGAAGAACACUGCUUCCACAUCACAGGUGGACCCAUGCCAUGGAGCUGAUGCAACCAAGUGUGCCUCCAGUAUAGCAUUUAGCAAGGGGAGAUGGUGAUUUUGCUAACAGACACGGUUGCAAAUAAUGCCAAUGGCAGAGGAAAGAAGACAUAUUUCAUUCUGAGGAGGGAAAGACAAACACACACACCCCCUCCUCUGCCUGCCCCCUUCCCUGGCAGAGGUCCAGGUCAGCUGUCUCAGUGAACAACAACAGCACUCCUGGUCUUCAGAAACCUCUGGAAGGAAACCAGAGCCAUACGUGUACGUCUCGGCUCUUUCCCUUUUUGUGAUA